UGGGGAAUAUUGCACAAUGGGCGCAAGCCUGAUGCAGCCAUGCCGCGUGUAUGAAGAAGGCCUUCGGGUUGUAAAGUACUUUCAGCGGGGAGGAAGGUGUUGUGGUUAAUAACCGCAGCAAUUGACGUUACCCGCAGAAGAAGCACCGGCUAACUCCGUGCCAGCAGCCGCGGUAAUACGGAGGGUGCAAGCGGUAAUCGGAAUUACUGGGCGUAAAGCGCACGCAGGCGGUCUGUCAAGUCGGAUGUGAAAUCCCCGGGCUCAACCUGGGAACUGCAUUCGAAACUGGCAGGCUAGAGUCUUGUAGAGGGGGGUAGAAUUCCAGGUGUAGCGGUGAAAUGCGUAGAGAUCUGGAGGAAUACCGGUGGCGAAGGCGGCCCCCUGGACAAAGACUGACGCUCAGGUGCGAAAGCGUGGGGAGCAAACA
rnacentral:rRNA from 1 species